ensembl:misc_RNA Metazoa_SRP Metazoan signal recognition particle RNA
GCCAGGUGUGGUGGUGCAUGCCUGUAAUCCCAGCUCCUCAGGAGGCUGAGGCAGGAGAAUCACUUGAACCCAGGAGGCGGAAGUUGCAGUGAGCAGUGAUUGUGCCACUGCACUCCAGCCUGGGUGACAGAGUGAGACUCUGUCUCAA